rnacentral:rRNA from 1 species
AGAGUUUGAUCCUGGCUCAGGAUGAACGCUAGCGAUAGGCUUAACACAUGCAAGUCGAGGGGCAGCGAGAGAGUAGCAAUACUCUUGUCGGCGACCGGCGCACUGGUGAGUAACACGUAUGCGACCUGCCCCCUACAGGAGAAUAACCCGUAGAAAUGCGGCCUAAUACUCCAUAGUCCCAGAGGCUGCAUGGCCUUUGGGGGAAAGGUCCGCCGGUAGGGGAUGGGCAUGCGGCGCAUUAGCUAGUUGGCGGGGUAACGGCCCACCAAGGCGACGAUGCGUAGGGGUUCUGAGAGGAAGGUCCCCCACACUGGUACUGAGACACGGACCAGACUCCUACGGGAGGCAGCAGUGAGGAAUAUUGGUCAAUGGGGCGAGAGCCUGAACCAGCCAAGUCGCGUGAGGGACGACGGUCCUACGGAUUGUAAACCUCUUUUGUCGGGGAGUAAUGUGCGGCACGUGUGCCGUAUUGAGAGUACCCGAAGAAAAAGCAUCGGCUAAUUCCGUGCCAGCAGCCGCGGUAAUACGGAAGGUCCGGGCGUUAUCCGGAUUUAUUGGGUUUAAAGGGAGCGUAGGCCGGGUUUUAAGCGUGUUGUGAAAUGUAGACGCUCAACGUCUGAAUUGCAGCGCGAACUGGAGCCCUUGAGUGCGCUGGAAGUAGGCGGAAUUCGUGGUGUAGCGGUGAAAUGCUUAGAUAUCACGAAGAACUCCGAUUGCGAAGGCAGCUUACUGUUGCGUUACUGACGCUGAAGCUCGAAAGUGUGGGUAUCGAACAGGAUUAGAUACCCUGGUAGUCCACACGGUAAACGAUGGAUACUCGCCGUUCGCCCACUUGAGGGUGAGUGGCCAAGUGAAAACGUUAAGUAUCCCACCUGGGGAGUACGCCGGCAACGGUGAAACUCAAAGGAAUUGACGGGGGCCCGCACAAGCGGAGGAACAUGUGGUUUAAUUCGAUGAUACGCGAGGAACCUUACCCGGGCUUGAACUGCCGGCGAACGAUACAGAGAUGUUGAGGCCCUUCGGGGCGCCGGUGGAGGUGCUGCAUGGUUGUCGUCAGCUCGUGCCGUGAGGUGUCGGCUUAAGUGCCAUAACGAGCGCAACCCCUGUCCUUAGUUGCCAUCAGUUAAAGCUGGGCACUCUGAGGAUACUGCCACCGCAAGGUGUGAGGAAGGUGGGGAUGACGUCAAAUCAGCACGGCCCUUACGUCCGGGGCUACACACGUGUUACAAUGGGGGGGUACAGAGUGUCGG